rnacentral:tRNA from 1 species
GUUGGUAUAGCUCAGUGGUAGAGCACAAACUUUGCAUGUACAAUGUCCUGGGUUCAAUUUCCAGUACCUCCA